GGGAAUGUAGCUCAGUGUUAGAGCACUUGCCUAGUAUGCUGAAGGCCCUGGGUUCAACCCCAGUACCA
rnacentral:tRNA from 1 species